rnacentral:lncRNA from 1 species
CUAUUCAAUAAUUUUUCUUCUUUAAAGCUAAGAGGAAGAAAGAGAGCCUCAAACUGAGUGGCAGAUGUUAAGUCAGGAAAUGGGAAACUCCGCCUUCGCAAGAGCUUGAGUCGUCUCCGUGACCUCUGUGGCCUCGUUGAAAGGCUUUCUCUGAAUUGAAUGACAACACGGAGGCUGAGGUUCUUCUUUCAGUACAUCCAAAUUGGCAUCCGGGACUUGAGCACCAUAUGGCCCAGAUGUUUUCUAGAAUCACUGUGGGCAUGCAAACAGAGACCACUGCCAGGGAGCCACUCCUACCUCAUACUUCAGAGCAUUUACACAAUGAUGUGGCUCAGAACAGAUAUAAGGCCCCUGCAGAAAGAGGACACCAACUGGUAUGAACAUGAGAGGGACAAAGAAAACAGUUCUGAACACGGUCUUUUAAGGUGGGGCUUUUUAUGCCAUUUUUUGUUUAAGUAUUGCAAAAAUUAACAAAACAGAACUGUAAUGAUUUAAACUUUUUAGCGGGAAAUUCAAGAAAUGUUUUGUUUUUAUGUAUUUUUUUUAAAGAUGAGAGUUACCAAAUCUAAACAACUUUUAAAAUCUUCUUUAAUAAAGUUGGUCCAUUUUUCUCAAAACCUGCAUCUUUGACAAUUUAUCAUACAUUGAGCUCUUCUCUCUCUCUUUACUGCAUUUAUCCAAUUCAUUUGAUCUCUUCUUCCCUUAUCGUUGCUUGUUAGCCAGGUAACCCUGGGAAUAUGUGCCUUUUAG